AGCCGUGCACACGGGUUCGAUUCCCGUCUCCACCUC
rnacentral:sRNA from 1 species